AGAGGCGAUGAAGGACGUGCUAAUCUGCGAUAAGCGUCGGUGAGGUGAUAUGAACCGUUAUAACCGGCGAUUUCCGAAUGGGGAAACCCAGUGUGAUUCGUCACACUAUCAUUAACUGAAUCCAUAGGUUAAUGAGGCGAACCGGGGGAACUGAAACAUCUAAGUACCCCGAGGAAAAGAAAUCAACCGAGAUUCCCCCAGUAGCGGCGAGCGAACGGGGAGGAGCCCAGAGCCUGAAUCAGUGUGUGUGUUAGUGGAAGCGUCUGGAAAGGCGCGCGAUACAGGGUGACAGCCCCGUACACAAAAAUGCACAUAUUGUGAGCUCGAUGAGUAGGGCGGGACACGUGGUAUCCUGUCUGAAUAUGGGGGGACCAUCCUCCAAGGCUAAAUACUCCUGACUGACCGAUAGUGAACCAGUACCGUGAGGGAAAGGCGAAAAGAACCCCGGCGAGGGGAGUGAAAAAGAACCUGAAACCGUGUACGUACAAGCAGUGGGAGCCUCUUAAUGGGGUGACUGCGUACCUUUUGUAUAAUGGGUCAGCGACUUAUAUUCUGUAGCAAGGUUAACCGAAUAGGGGAGCCGAAGGGAAACCGAGUCUUAACUGGGCGUUAAGUUGCAGGGUAUAGACCCGAAACCCGGUGAUCUAGCCAUGGGCAGGUUGAAGGUUGGGUAACACUAACUGGAGGACCGAACCGACUAAUGUUGAAAAAUUAGCGGAUGACUUGUGGCUGGGGGUGAAAGGCCAAUCAAACCGGGAGAUAGCUGGUUCUCCCCGAAAGCUAUUUAGGUAGCGCCUCGUGAAUUCAUCUCCGGGGGUAGAGCACUGUUUCGGCAAGGGGGUCAUCCCGACUUACCAACCCGAUGCAAACUGCGAAUACCGGAGAAUGUUAUCACGGGAGACACACGGCGGGUGCUAACGUCCGUCGUGAAGAGGGAAACAACCCAGACCGCCAGCUAAGGUCCCAAAGUCAUGGUUAAGUGGGAAACGAUGUGGGAAGGCCCAGACAGCCAGGAUGUUGGCUUAGAAGCAGCCAUCAUUUAAAGAAAGCGUAAUAGCUCACUGGUCGAGUCGGCCUGCGCGGAAGAUGUAACGGGGCUAAACCAUGCACCGAAGCUGCGGCAGCGACACUAUGUGUUGUUGGGUAGGGGAGCGUUCUGUAAGCCUGUGAAGGUGGCCUGUGAGGGUUGCUGGAGGUAUCAGAAGUGCGAAUGCUGACAUAAGUAACGAUAAAGCGGGUGAAAAGCCCGCUCGCCGGAAGACCAAGGGUUCCUGUCCAACGUUAAUCGGGGCAGGGUGAGUCGACCCCUAAGGCGAGGCCGAAAGGCGUAGUCGAUGGGAAACAGGUUAAUAUUCCUGUACUUGGUGUUACUGCGAAGGGGGGACGGAGAAGGCUAUGUUGGCCGGGCGACGGUUGUCCCGGUUUAAGCGUGUAGGCUGGUUUUCCAGGCAAAUCCGGAAAAUCAAGGCUGAGGCGUGAUGACGAGGCACUACGGUGCUGAAGCGACAAAUGCCCUGCUUCCAGGAAAAGCCUCUAAGCAUCAGGUAACAUCAAAUCGUACCCCAAACCGACACAGGUGGUCAGGUAGAGAAUACCAAGGCGCUUGAGAGAACUCGGGUGAAGGAACUAGGCAAAAUGGUGCCGUAACUUCGGGAGAAGGCACGCUGAUAUGUAGGUGAAGCGACUUGCUCGUGGAGCUGAAAUCAGUCGAAGAUACCAGCUGGCUGCAACUGUUUAUUAAAAACACAGCACUGUGCAAACACGAAAGUGGACGUAUACGGUGUGACGCCUGCCCGGUGCCGGAAGGUUAAUUGAUGGGGUUAGCGGUAACGCGAAGCUCUUGAUCGAAGCCCCGGUAAACGGCGGCCGUAACUAUAACGGUCCUAAGGUAGCGAAAUUCCUUGUCGGGUAAGUUCCGACCUGCACGAAUGGCGUAAUGAUGGCCAGGCUGUCUCCACCCGAGACUCAGUGAAAUUGAACUCGCUGUGAAGAUGCAGUGUACCCGCGGCAAGACGGAAAGACCCCGUGAACCUUUACUAUAGCUUGACACUGAACAUUGAGCCUUGAUGUGUAGGAUAGGUGGGAGGCUUUGAAGUGUGGACGCCAGUCUGCAUGGAGCCGACCUUGAAAUACCACCCUUUAAUGUUUGAUGUUCUAACGUGGGCCCCUUACCGGGGUUGCGGACAGUGUCUGGUGGGUAGUUUGACUGGGGCGGUCUCCUCCUAAAGAGUAACGGAGGAGCACGAAGGUUGGCUAAUCCUGGUCGGACAUCAGGAGGUUAGUGCAAUGGCAUAAGCCAGCUUGACUGCGAGCGUGACGGCGCGAGCAGGUGCGAAAGCAGGUCAUAGUGAUCCGGUGGUUCUGAAUGGAAGGGCCAUCGCUCAACGGAUAAAAGGUACUCCGGGGAUAACAGGCUGAUACCGCCCAAGAGUUCAUAUCGACGGCGGUGUUUGGCACCUCGAUGUCGGCUCAUCACAUCCUGGGGCUGAAGUAGGUCCCAAGGGUAUGGCUGUUCGCCAUUUAAAGUGGUACGCGAGCUGGGUUUAGAACGUCGUGAGACAGUUCGGUCCCUAUCUGCCGUGGGCGCUGGAGAACUGAGGGGGGCUGCUCCUAGUACGAGAGGACCGGAGUGGACGCAUCACUGGUGUUCGGGUUGUCAUGCCAAUGGCACUGCCCGGUAGCUAAAUGCGGAAGAGAUAAGUGCUGAAAGCAUCUAAGCACGAAACUUGCCCCGAGAUGAGUUCUCCCUGACUCCUUGAGAGUCCUGAAGGAACGUUGAAGACGACGACGUUGAUAGGCCGGGUGUGUAAGCGCAGCGAUGCGUUGAGCUAACCGGUACUAAUGAACCGUGAGGCUUAACCUU
rnacentral:rRNA from 1 species